rnacentral:rRNA from 1 species
GCGAAGAACCUUACCUGGUCUUGACAUCCACGGAAGUUUUCAGAGAUGAGAAUGUGCCUUCGGGAACCGUGAGACAGGUGCUGCAUGGCUGUCGUCAGCUCGUGUUGUGAAAUGUUGGGUUAAGUCCCGCAACGAGCGCAACCCUUAUCCUUUGUUGCCAGCGGUCCGGCCGGGAACUCAAAGGAGACUGCCAGUGAUAAACUGGAGGAAGGUGGGGAUGACGUCAAGUCAUCAUGGCCCUUACGACCAGGGCUACACACGUGCUACAAUGGCGCAUACAAAGAGAAGCGACCUCGCGAGAGCAAGCGGACCUCAUAAAGUGCGUCGUAGUCCGGAUUGGAGUCUGCAACUCGACUCCAUGAAGUCGGAAUCGCUAGUAAUCGUGGAUCAGAAUGCCACGGUGAAUACGUUCCCGGGCCUUGUACACACCGCCCGUCACACCAU